AGAGCGAACGCUGGCGGCAGGCCUAACCCAUGCAAGUCGAACGAACUCUUCGGAGUUAGUGGCGGACGGGUGAGUAACACGUGGGAACGUGCCUUUUGGUUCGGAAUAGCUCCUGGAAACGGGUGGUAAUGCCGAAUGUGCCCUUCGGGGGAAAGAUUUAUCGCCAUUAGAGCGGCCCGCGUCUGAUUAGCUAGUUGGUGAGGUAAAGGCUCACCAAGGCUACGAUCAGUAGCUGGUCUGAGAGGAUGACCAGCCACAUUGGGACUGAGACACGGCCCAAACUCCUACGGGAGGCAGCAGUGGGGAAUCUUGCGCAAUGGGCGAAAGCCUGACGCAGCCAUGCCGCGUGAAUGAUGAAAGGUCUUAGGAUUGUAAAAUUCUUUCAGUAGGGACGAUAAUGACGGUACCUACAGAAGAAGCCCGGCUAACUUCGUGCCAGCAGCCGC
rnacentral:rRNA from 1 species